rnacentral:tRNA from 1 species
AGCGGGGUAGAGGAAUUGGUUGACUCAGCAGGCUCAUGUCCGUCCUGAAGACUGCAGGUUCGAAUCCUGCCCCCGCCUC